GGGGGCGCAAUGGUUUCGACGGGGGCAAGUUGCUCCUGGGAAGCGAGUCGAAGGGAUCCUGUACCUGCGUUAAAAAACUGGGAAUUUAAAUAUAAUUGCAAACGAUAAUUUUGCAUUAGCUGCCUAAUAGUUGCAGCUCGUCAGCCUAAGAGUCCCACGACUUAGGGUCUGGCGUCGACAGUGGGGAACCGAGCCUUACAAAGCUUUGAGUAAGGAACGGAAUUAAUGAAGCUACUGAAUCUAAGAGCCUGUUUAUCGGCGCUUAGAGGAGGGAAUGUAAAAGGAUAAACUGCACUCGGAGAUGCCCAGGGGUUGCUGCUUUCGGACAGGGGUUCGAUUCAAAAGAGUCGCCUUAUGAAGUGAUUCAUAAGUGAAAACUUGGCUUUAUCGGUGAAACCGAAACGUAAAGACGUCGGCAAUACCGAGUGGUAUGUGGGGAAACCCAACAGCCGUGUAUCGACUCAUAGGUUUCUAACCUUAAGAAAUGAAAUUUUCUUAAGUAAGAAAUACUAGGAUAGAAGUUUUAAACUAUAAUAUAGCUUCUAUAACACGCCAAGGUACUUAAAACUUAUAAGUUUUAAGCACGAGAUAUAGUCAGUGCCAUUAGAGAUAAUGGAAUAGCAUGUCCCCUCGCCUCCACCA
rnacentral:tmRNA from 1 species